rnacentral:rRNA from 1 species
GAUGAACGCUGGCGGCGUGCCUAAUACAUGCAAGUCGAGCGAACAGACGAGGAGCUUGUUCCUCUGACGUUAGCGGCGGACGGGUGAGUAACACGUGUAUAACCUACUUAUCUUUCUGGUAUAAUUUCGGGAAACCGGAUCCAAUACCGGAUAAUAUAUUGAACCGCAUGGUUCAAUAGUGAAAUACGGCUUUGCUGUCACUUAUAGAUGGUUCCGCGCCGCCGUAGCUAGUUGGUAGGGUCACGGCUUAUCAAGGCAACGAGGCGUAGCCGACCUGAGUGGGUGAUCGGCCACACUGGAACUGAGACACGGUCCAGGCUACUACGGGAGGCAGCAGUAGGGAAUGUUCCGCAAUGGGCGGAAGCCUGACGGAGCAACGCCGCGUGGGUGAUGAAGGUCUUCGGAUCGUAAAGAUCUGUUAUUAGGGAAGAACAGAUGUGGACGUAGAUAUGGACGUCUUGACGGUACCUAAUAAAAAAGCAACGGCUAACUACGUG